ACGCCAAACGCAAAUAACAUAAAAGUUAAUUUUUUGGCUAUAUGCCAUCAUUCAGUUCAUACAUAAUAUUGUACGAGAAACCUACCAAAUUCACUUUAUAAAAAAUAAAAGAUAUUGCAACUACAGGCAACUCGAUAUAUACAUGUUACAACUAUACAAUGAAUGACUCACUAUCGAGUCUGCAAUCGGGCUAAGCCCUUUACAAGAGUCCAUAAUGAUCUACAGCACCUGAAAUGGUAGAGGAAACUAGGUAAGUUCUAAAUGAACUUAGUGAGUUCCAAAGAUAAUCAAUAACCUUUCAAACAAGAUUUCAAGGAAAUGAAAUUAAGCUAAACAAUUAAAAACAUUUGAUAUUAACAAACAACUUACAUUCUGAUGCAACAAUAUAGUUGCGCACAAUUCGUUAGUGGUUAUACAUAUCACAAGACAAUUACUGUUCAUUAGCGGAUACUGUCCACCUCUCAGUACAAGUCACUAAUAACUUCAAUCUUUAUGCAGAUAUUAGCUAAAUGUAAUUACAAAUCAAAACCAGAGAUUGUUCACAUGCAUAUACUUAUCACAACUAAGUACAUUUCAUGCAGAUAUUCAUCCUAGCUAAGCACUAUUCACGUGCAAAACCUUUACAUCAUACAUGCAUCCUUUGCAUGGAACAAUUCAUGGACCCUCUUCCUUGAGUUAGCUUCUGGUCCAUUCAACACUCUGAAGAGCUAUGGUUUCAUAUUCACGGUAUUGCUCCAUAGAGCUAGUUUCAUUUAUCAAAUAGAACCUCUGCAAAUCCUUUUUGUUAAUUUGAACACUUACGUUUUCCCUCUCAAGGCCGCAAUAUUCACCAAUCAUGGUUUGCAUUUACAUGCCCUACUGGAGGCAAAUCACAUAUCAUUUCAUAUUCUCCAUACAUCACUCCCAUCACAAUCACACCUCAAUCAGUUUACUCCGGUUCCCCCUUCCACCAUUUUGGACAUGAAGCUUGUGCUCCAAGGAAAAGUGUCCAUUUUUAAUCAUUCAUGCCCAUUCAAUCAAUUAUCAUUUCUUCCAAUUUAUUAACACACUCAUGCACAAUUGAUUAAAAAAAAUACUAACAUACUUGAAAGACUAAAUUUUUAUUGAGUUAGUUGGAAUUAAUUAGAAGCACAAGUGAAAGGAACUCACUAGAGAUUACCAGGAAAAGCUUUGUUUACUCUAGAGGCUCUUUCCUUUUUGCACCGAGGCCUUCUCCUAUUUUUUAGCUAAAUAAAAUCAAACAUUCUAUUAAAUACAGAAACAAUCGAAACUUAAUUGUAAAAAAGAGAAUUGAUAACAUGCAAUCAGUUAACCGAAAGGAAGUUUCCUUCCCUCCAAAACUUUCAGUGAAAACCUAUAUAAAUGGUUCCAACUACCCUUCCAUUCCCUGGUAUUAAACUAAAGAAGAGCUUAAGAAUUUACCAGCAAUUGGCUUGAAAAGGUUGCUAAUCUAACUGAAUAACUG
rnacentral:lncRNA from 1 species